CCCUUAGAUGUUCUGGGCCGCACGCGCGCUACACUGUUCGACGCAGCGAGUCUUAACCUUGACCGAAAGGUUUGGGUAAUCUUCAGCAAAGUCGAACGUGAUGGGGAUCGAUCAUUGCAAUUAUUGAUCGUGAACGAGGAAUUCCUAGUAAGUGCAAGUCAUCAGCUUGCGCUGAUUACGUCCCUGCCCUUUGUACACACCGCCCGUCGCUACUACCGAUUGAAUGGUUUAGUGAGAUCUCUGGAUUGACGCUGGCUAGGGGGCGACCCUUGGCCAGGCUGUCGAGAAACUGCUCAAACUUGAUCAUUUAGAGGAAGUAAAAGUCGUAAC
rnacentral:rRNA from 1 species